CACCAUCUCUCUUUAUGUUUACUCUCUAUUUCCCUUCUCUUUACCAUAAAUCACUUUGUGGAUUUUUCUAGGUAUCAUCACUAACUAACCAUAUGCGACGGAGGAUGAUCCGAGUGCCUUCCGGGCCGACGAGGUGUACGAUUUCUCUGCCCCGAGAUCCUGCGACUUCGCUCACGGAGUCACGGUGAGUCUGAGGAAGAUGCAACCAAGGCUGAGCUCUAGUUCAAGAUGAAGCAACCUUUCUUGUUCAAUCACUACUCAUCGACAGUACUGCCGAGUAAGAUGCUGCUUUGGCACAGCUUGAGUUAGAGAAGAGAUUGGCUUUGAUCAAAGAUUGGGAAGAGAAUGAGAAAGAUAAAGCUGAUAACAAGUAUGAUUCCCCUCCCUGCCAUUCCUGGCUUUUUAUUUACUUUAAUUUAAUUUUCCACUUGUUUUAAUUUGGUGUUGAAUUUUAAAUUUUAUCAAGUACAUAGAAAGUGUAUAAUACUGAAUAAUCACGUACAUUAUAUUUAACAAUGAUGAUCCGGGCGCACAAAAAGUUGUCUGCUAUUGCAGCAUGGGAGAACACUAAGAAGGCUUCUGUUGAUGCUCAACUGAAGGAAAUUGGGGUAAUAAAACAUGGAAGUUUGAGACACUUAUUAUUUUUUUCUUACAAUUGCUAAUGGUACAGUUAUCAGUCAAAGAUCAAAUUUUUUCUUUCAGGGAUAGAUAGGGUUUAUGGUUUAAUUCCAGAUGCUUUUUCAUAUUUGUCUUUAGCUAGUUUCCUUUGAGAAUUUUGAUGUUGAGUUCUUUUUAUUUUAAAUUAAAAUUUAAUCAUUAGUGUCA